rnacentral:lncRNA from 1 species
AAUCACUUAACUUUCGAAAAAUAACAAAUCAGUCCUCCGUACCAUUUUUUGUUACAGACGUAACAGAAAGUUAACUUGUCAUUUAACUGGCCACGUUGGCAUCCUAGCUGUCAUUUAAAGGGCUAGCUAGGUAGUAUAAGAAGGAGAAGAAGAAGAAGAAAAAGAGAAAAAAUAUAUAUAUACAAUCUAAAUAAUGUUUUUUUAUCCAUGUCUUUCUUCCUUUCUUGUUUCAAAAACUGGAAAAAG